UCAGGCUCAAGAGACUUACCAGACAGUAGGGAAGAUGUAGAAAAAAGCUCUGCCAGAAUGAAAGCUGAGUCUAAGCCAGAUAGACACUGGGGUGGCAAAGAGGGCAACACCAUCUGCUUAAGAUUCAUGUCACAAAACGAGCAAGAUCCACAAGUGUGAUCCCCUACACCCCUAGUGUUGAAACCAUCUCUGGUGAAUGCACUGACCAGGCUGCCAUUCUUCAGGUUGACCACUGCUUAUAAAUUGUCUCAUCAGACAGAUAACAGCUUCCUCUGUGAACAAUUGAUAGCCACCUAGAUGGCCAAAAUGCAAUGUUACAUGGUAGUAAUUAAAAUGGGUAGUCAUUAAAACUAAUUUUUGCUAUUGCACUCCUUAUGGUAAAAAAAUAAAUAAAA